GUGACAUGCGGUAGAGCUGAUACUUGUCACAGCUGAGGCUGGUCCUCAGAGGUCUUACAACUCAGAGCUCAUCACCUGGUGUGCUGCUGCCCCCAUGUGCAGAAGCCAGGGCUAGCCUCUGGGAGGACUUGGAGAGAAGGCGGCUGAGAGCAAGUGCCAACUGUAUAAGGCCAUCUUAGAUGACUGCAGCCAUGAGCGAACUCAGCGGAACCUGGCGGGCCUGCCCAGCGGAAUGCAGUGCGGCUUCACUGAAUGUGUUUCCUGAUUGCCAUCAAAGGAAGCAGGACCUACUGAGGCUUGGAUGCAAGGCCUGACCAGUGGAGUUGCUCAGCCUGCAGGGGUGUCCUGCUCUAGGAGAGGCCCAGGAAACUCCUCAUUCACCUGCAGCUUCUGGCUCCCUGGAUUCUGUUCUUUUGCCUUUAGCUUAGUUUAUUUCUGUUUUAUUUUAAUCUUAUAACCUUUUAAAUAUUUUGAAAACCA